AUACGGAGGAUGCGAGCGUUAUCCGGAUUUAUUGGGUUUAAAGGGUGCGUAGGCUGUGCGUUAAGUCAGGGGUGAAAUGCCGCCGCUCAACGACGGAGCUGCCCUUGAUACUGGCGUGCUGGAGUACGGAUGCCGUUGGAGGAAUGAGUGGUGUAGCGGUGAAAUGCUUAGAUAUCACUCAGAACACCGAUUGCGAAGGCACCUGACGAAUCCGCCACUGACGCUGAGGCACGAAAGCGUGGGGAUAGAACAGGAUUAGAUACCCUGGUAUGCCACGCCGUAAACGAUGAUGACUAACCGUCGGCGAUAGACAGCCGGUGGCCAAGCGAAAGCGAUAAGUCAUCCACCUGGGGAGUACGUCGGCAACGAUGAAACUCAAAUGAAUUGGCGGGG
rnacentral:rRNA from 1 species